rnacentral:RNase_P_RNA from 1 species
CGAGUCGGCCGGGCAGCCGCUCGCACCCACGCCGGUGCGGGAGGAAAGUCCGGACUCCACAGGGCAGGGUGGCCGCUAACGGCGGCCCGCCGCGAGGCGGGGAAAGUGCAACAGAAAGCAAACCGCCUGUGCCCGCGGGCGCAGGUAAGGGUGAAACGGUGAGGUAAGAGCUCACCAGGCCCGCCGGUGACGGCGGGUGCUCUGUAAACCCCACCCGGAGCAAGGCCGAAUAGGGGGACGG